UACGUAGGGUGCGAGCGUUAAUCGGAAUUACUGGGCGUAAAGCGUGCGCAGGCGGUUCGUUAAGUCAGAUGUGAAAGCCCCGGGCUCAACCUGGGAACUGCAUUUGAAACUGGCGGGCUUGAGUGUGGCAGAGGGGGGUGGAAUUCCGCGUGUAGCAGUGAAAUGCGUAGAUAUCCGGAGGAACACCAGUGGCGAAAGCGGCCACCUGGACUGUACCUGACGCUCAAACGCGAAAGCUAGGGGAGCGAACGGG
rnacentral:rRNA from 1 species